rnacentral:tRNA from 1 species
GCCGUUGUAGCUCAGCUGGUAGAGCAGGGUUUUCGUAAAGCCAAGGUCGUGGGUUCAAAUCCCUCCAUCGGCACCA